rnacentral:sRNA from 1 species
UUUGAACCACUCUGCAGCCCGACUUGAGCGGAAAUCCUUUUUGUGGAGCGGAGCGGAACAAAAAGAUUGGGAGCGGAAGGCGGAAAUGCUG